CAGACCCAAGGACAGAUUUCAAACCCUAUUCUUUCUCAUGAGUCAGAUCAAACACAAACCAAUUCCAUUGAUUCGAACCAAAUGUCAAGUUUGAACAUGACUCUUGAUGCAAUCGAUACUAUCUCUCCUAAGCAGGCUUCAUCUUCUAAGACCAUUGGACCUAAUUCACGGUCCGUCAGAGAUAGGAAGCAAUCCGUUCGAUUACAGGACUACAUUGUCGAUGCCCCAGG
rnacentral:lncRNA from 1 species